rnacentral:rRNA from 1 species
CUGUGUGUAGUGCGAUGUGGGGACGGAUCUUAAUAGGUCAUCCGGGUGUUGGAUAUCCCGGUUUAGGCAGAUGUAGGCGACAGGUAGGCAAAUCCGCCUGUCAUAUACCGAGGCUGCCGAUCGAGCGAGCUUGCUCGCGAAGUGAUUGAACGAGGUUCCAGGAAAAGCCACUAAGCUUCAGCUACACACGACCGUACCGCAAACCGACACUGGUGCGCGAGAUGAGUAUUCUAAGGCGCUUGAGAGAACUCGGGAGAAGGAACUCGGCAAAUUGACACCGUAACUUCGGAAGAAGGUGUGCCCUAUUAGUGUGAAGUGAACAACGGAGCGUGAAUGGGUUGCAAAAAAUCGGUGGCUGCGACUGUUUAUUAAAAACACAGCACUCUGCAAACACGAAAGUGGACGUAUAGGGUGUGACGCCUGCCCGGUGCUGGAAGAUUUAAUGAUGGGGCGCAAGCUCUUGAUUGAAGUCCCAGUAAACGGCGGCCGUAACGAUAACGGUCCUAAGGUAGCGAAAUUCCUUGUCGGGUAAGUUCCGACCUGCACGAAUGGCGUAACGAUGGCCACACUGUCUCCUCCCGAGACUCAGCGAAGUUGAAAUGUUUGUGAUGAUGCAAUCUCCCCGCGGAAAGACGGAAAGACCCCAUGAACCUUUACUGUAGCUUUGUAUUGGACUUUGAACAGAUCUGUGUAGGAUAGGUGGGAGGCUUUGAAGCAGGGUCGCUAGAUCUUGUGGAGCCAACGUUGAAAUACCACCCUGGUGUGUUUGAGGUUCUAACCUAGGUCCAUUAUCUGGAUCGGGGACAGUGCAUGGUAGGCAGUUUGACUGGGGCGGUCUCCUCCCAAAGCGUAACGGAGGAGUUCGAAGGUACGCUAGUUACGGUCGGACAUCGUGACGAUAGUGCAAUGGCAUAAGCGUGCUUAACUGCGAGACUGACAAGUCGAGCAGAUGCGAAAGCAGGACAUAGUGAUCCGGUGGUUCUGUAUGGAAGGGCCAUCGCUCAACGGAUAAAAGGUACUCUGGGGAUAACAGGCUGAUACCGCCCAAGAGUUCAUAUCGACGGCGGUGUUUGGCACCUCGAUGUCGGCUCAUCUCAUCCUGGGGCUGUAGCCGGUCCCAAGGGUAUGGCUGUUCGCCAUUUAAAGAGGUACGUGAGCUGGGUUUAAAACGUCGUGAGACAGUUUGGUCCCUAUCUUCCGUGGGCGCUGCAGAUUUGAGGAAGCCUGCUCCUAGUACGAGAGGACCGGAGUGGACGCACCUCUGGUGCAUCGGUUGUCACGCCAGUGGCAUUGCCGAGUAGCUAUGUGCGGAAGAGAUAACCGCUGAAAGCAUCUAAGCGGGAAACUCGUUCCAAGAUGAGAUCUGCCGGGGCCUUGAGCCCCCUAAAGAGUCGUUCAAGACCAGGACGUUGAUAGGUCGGGUGUGGAAGCGCAGUAAUGCGUUAAGCUAACCGAUACCAAUUGCUCGUGCGGCUUGACCCU